GCCUUCGUGGUGUAAUUGUCAACACACUCGGAGCGUAUUCGAGAGGUCCGUGGUUCGAGUCCCGGAGAGGGCA
rfam:Stegodyphus mimosarum contig83217, whole genome shotgun sequence.